AUUUUUUUUCCAUGAUAAGGUGUUUUUGUGAGAACAGGUUUGCCACUUGUGUUAAAAUCAUAAAAUCAUUUUUGUUUUUACAAAAACCUUCAUCAUGACAUGUGUUUUAUUACUGAGAACUAUUGCUUUAAAAAAACAAAGGAAUUAAUUGAAAAUACAAUAAUGAUGCACUAGGCAUGCAUCAGAAUUUUUUGUUGCUCUAAUUUUCAAUCUCUGUUUAUGAAACCAGUGUUCCGAAACAGGAAGCUGUGUCAUUGGGAUGUUUGUUGUAAGAAGUAAUAUAGGUG
rnacentral:misc_RNA from 1 species